rnacentral:rRNA from 1 species
AUGCAAUCUACCCUUCACUGGGGAAUAGCCCGGAGAAAUUCGGAUUAACACCGCAUAAUAUAUUGGGAAGGCAUCUUUUUAAUAUUAAAUCUACGGAGGUGAAGGAUGAGCAUGCGGCUGAUUAGUUAGUUGGUGAGGUAACGGCUCACCAAGACGAUGAUCAGUAGGGGUUCUGAGAGGAAGGUCCCCCACACUGGUACUGAGAUACGGACCAGACUCCUACGGGAGGCAGCAGUAGGGAAUAUUGGGCAAUGGGCGAGAGCCUGACCCAGCCAUGCCGCGUGUAGGAAGAAGGCUUUCUGAGUUGUAAACUACUUUUGAUCGGGAACAAAGAGACCUUGCGAGGUAAGAUGAGUGUACCGAUAGAAUAAGCACCGGCUAACUCCGUGCCAGCAGCCGCGGUAAUACGGAGGGUGCAAGCGUUGUCCGGAUUUAUUGGGUUUAAAGGGUGCGUAGGCGGCUCAUUAAGUCAGUGGUGAAAUACUGCAGCUCAACUGUAGGAUUGCCAUUGAUACUGACGAGCUUGAGUACAGAUGAGGUAGGCGGAAUUUAUGGUGUAGCGGUGAAAUGCAUAGAUACCAUAAAGAACACCUAUUG